UACGGGGGGGGCAAGCGUUGUUCGGAAUUACUGGGCGUAAAGGGUUCGUAGGUGGCUUGCUAAGUCAGACGUGAAAUCUCUCAGCUUAACUGGGGAACUGCGUCUGAGACUGGUGAGCUUGAGUGCAGGAGAGGAACGCGGAAUUCCAGGUGUAGCGGUGAAAUGCGUAGAUAUCUGGAGGAACACCGGUGGCGAAGGCGGCGUUCUGGACUGCUACUGACACUGAGGAACGAAAGCCAGGGGAGCAAACGGG
rnacentral:rRNA from 1 species